rnacentral:misc_RNA from 1 species
AACGCAACUUGCGCCCGCCCCGCCCGUCGGUGGCGGGCAUGUCUGCUUGAGAACCGCGCCCCCCCUACCCAGCCCUGGCUGGCUGUGCUGUUGCGGCCGCGGCCGCAAUCAAAGGCAGCAGGACGGGCGCCCCGCGCGCCGCCCCGUGCUGGAGCUCCCGGGCUUCUCGCGGCGGCCGCUGCGCGCCCUGCACCCACGAAACGGUCUCAAGUCAGGCAGGACGACCCGCUGAACUUAA